rnacentral:rRNA from 1 species
AGAGUUUGAUCCUGGCUCAGGAUGAACGCUAGCGGCAGGCUUAACACAUGCAAGUCGAGGGGUAACAUUGAUGCUUGCAUCAGAUGACGACCGGCGCACGGGUGAGUAACGCGUAUACAAUCUACCUUUAACAGGAGGAUACCCUUUAGAAAUGAAGAAUAACACUCCAUGGUAUUUAGAAAUGGCAUCAUUUCAAUAUUAAAGGUUACGGCAAAAGAUGAGUAUGCGUUCUAUUAGCUAGAUGGUGUGGUAACGGCACACCAUGGCAACGAUAGAUAGGGGCCCUGAGAGGGGGAUCCCCCACACUGGUACUGAGACACGGACCAGACUCCUACGGGAGGCAGCAGUGAGGAAUAUUGGGCAAUGGAGGCAACUCUGACCCAGCCAUGCCGCGUGCAGGAAGACUGCCCUAUGGGUUGUAAACUGCUUUUAUACAGGAAGAAACAGCUCUUCGCGAAAGAGCCUUGACGGUACUGUAAGAAUAAGGAUCGGCUAACUCCGUGCCAGCAGCCGCGGUAAUACGGAGGAUCCAAGCGUUAUCCGGAAUCAUUGGGUUUAAAGGGUCCGUAGGUGGAUAAUUAAGUCAGAGGUGAAAUCCUGCAGCUCAACUGUAGAAUUGCCUUUGAAACUGGUUAUCUUGAGUCAUUAUGAAGUGAUUAGAAUGUGUAGUGUAGCGGUGAAAUGCAUAGAUAUUACACAGAAUACCGAUUGCGAAGGCAGAUCACUAAUAAUGUACUGACACUGAUGGACGAAAGCGUGGGUAGCGAACAGGAUUAGAUACCCUGGUAGUCCACGCCGUAAACGAUGGUCACUAGCUGUUCGGAACUUGUUUCUGAGUGGCUAAGCGAAAGUGAUAAGUGACCCACCUGGGGAGUACGUUCGCAAGAAUGAAAACUCAAAGGAAUUGACGGGGGCCCGCACAAGCGGUGGAGCAUGUGGUUUAAUUCAAUGAUACGCGAGGAACCUUACCAGGGCUUAAAUGUAAGUUGCAUGAUUUAGAGAUAGAUCUUUCUUCGGACUACUUACAAGGUGCUGCAUGGUUGUCGUCAGCUCGUGCCGUGAGGUGUCAGGUUAAGUCCUAUAACGAGCGCAACCCCUGUUGUUAGUUGCCAUCGAGCAAAGUCGGGAACUCUAACAAGACUGCCAGUGCAAACUGUGAGGAAGGUGGGGAUGACGUCAAAUCAUCACUGCCCUUACGACCUGGGCUACACACUUGCUACAAUGGGCAGUACAGAGGGAUUCAAACUCGCGAGAGUAAGCGGACCCCAGAAAGCUGUUCGUAGUCCGGAUUGGAGUCUGCAACUCGACUCCAUGAAGUCGGAAUCGCUAGUAAUCGCGGAUCAGAAUGCCGCGGUGAAUACGUUCCCGGGCCUUGUACACACCGCCCGUCACACCAUGGGAGUGGGUUGCAAAAGAAGUGGCUAGUUUAACCUUCGGGAGAACGGUCACCACUUUGUGGCUCAUGACUGGGGUGAAGUCGAAACAAGGUAACC